AAAAUAAUAUGGACAGCAGGGUCCUACCUUUAUUUACAUACAAAUACAAAAUCCACGUUUAUAUACAAAAUACAGGCAAAACGCUCCAGCGGAACUUUAAUUAGUGGUUAUCUCUAGGGGCUGGGAAUCUAAUUUGGCACAAUUUAAUUUCUUUGUAAGUUCAUACAUUUUAAGGUUUCUGCCUGGUAAUCACAAAAGCAGAGAAAGGAAAACCUUUUACUGAGCUGAGCAAUGCCUGUAGAAGCCCUGCUUAGUAGGAGUUCCAAGAUGCUCUGUGUAUCUCAGGUGAAGCACACCUAAAUAAUUGAGCACUGCAUUAAGGCUCAGAAACGUAGUACCGUUGUGUGCUUCUCUGCCAAAAGGCAGCUAUUUUUAUGACAGAAAACACAGCAGCUGUUUUCACAGGUGCAGGGCAGCAGUACAUGGGAAGUUGGUCCCAGCAGAGAAGGAUAUGGUGUCUCUUUAAAACUGGAGGAGGAAGAGGCAGAAAAUGGUGAGCCCCAGUUGAAAUCUGCAAGAGAGAAGGAGGAAGCCCUGGUUUGGAGAAAAACGGGCUCCAGAUGGCUGGGCUACAUUUGUCCUGUGAAAAUCAAAAGCCUGGGACCCAGCCGCUGGGAUACGAGGGCUCUGGUCUUGCUUUAACAGCCAGGGGGACUUUUGGCUUGUUACAAAAAUUGGAAUUUGGAUCUGCAAGAUACGCUAGCCAUCACCCUUAAUUGACAAAUGAGGAAACCAAAGCCGGAGAGGGUAAUUUACUCAAGGUCAUUAAGGUCAGUGCUCUUGUCAAUAAAAUUAGGAUAUUGCUCACAUACUUCAUACUGCUUUUGUUACACACACACACACACACACACGCACACACAGAGCCAAUGUAUGGAAACAUCCCUGAGAAUAUAUAAUGUCAUCACAUUUACUAUUCAAAUUAGCAUCAACUGGUCAAAUAUUUAUUCAGGUAGUAACUUACUCAACAUUUCUAUCUUGACAUCCCCCAGUACAACUUAAUACAAUGCCCCAAUCCCCACAGGACAGGACAACACUCUCUCUCGCUCUCUCUCUUCCUUAAGAAUAGUGAGAUGUGGCCAGGCGCGGUGGCUCACUCCUGUAAUCCCAGCACUUUGGGAUAAUCUGGGUGCACAGUGAUCAGAAGCUUACCUACCCCACGUUGCAUAAAAAAAAGUAUGAAUUUAAAAAUUCCAAGAGUAAACUACCCUAUGAAAACCUCUGGCAGUGCUGAUGAAAACACAUUUCUGGUAGUGAUAUGUCUUGGUCCCUCUGGUCUCACAGAAUGUGUAGUCCUGAGAAAAAAUAAACCUGGACUCUUGGUAAAAUAUUUGAAUAAUUAACUGCUUUGCUCAUUGGUUGUAACUGGCAAGUCAUUCUCUUUACUACAUUAAAGUCUGCACUUUCAUUUUACAGACAGUCCUACAGUUCAACUCCAACAUCAGGGACUGAGUCGUACACAGGAAGAUCACUGAGUAGGUUCUGUGGAGACGCAGUCGGCCCAUAUGCACGUCACCACUCGGCUCCCAGCUCAGGUGCAGACCAACGGCGACCACUUGCUCCACUUUGCUCUGUGACAGCAGACGAGGUAAGGCAUGUUGCAGAUACAUGCUGAAUAUAGGGAUGCCUGUACACAAAACUGCACUCAUGCUGUGAUAACACGCAAAAGGUCACACACUGGAAGAGCCUUGCCCAACGAACGAUAGACUAACAGGCCAGAGGCGGGGAAAGCUUCUCGGAGUCCCACUAUCUUCUUUGUUUUUAUUGCUCCUACUUACUUAUGUGAUACCUUUUUAGUAGAAUGACUAGUUUUCUAAACAGAACCUGUAAUGACAGGCUCACAUUUCUUCCUCAACUCCCACCUCCAAAGCCACUCCAUUCAAAGAACUGCUGGUGAGGUGCUGGGGAGUCAAUCCGUCGUAGAGGGGAAGCGUUCUACCCCUCCAGAUCCUUCUGCAGACAGGAGGGUGUCUGCAUUCGGCGGAGUCCAAGAGUGCGGUGAGGACACAGUGGCAAAGGAAUAAUGCCAUUCCUUGAGGCAGCGCUGGGCUAGUAGAG
rnacentral:lncRNA from 10 species